rnacentral:rRNA from 1 species
GAUGAACGCUGGCGGCGUGCCUAAUACAUGCAAGUCGAGCGAACAGACGAGGAGCUUGCUCCUCUGACGUUAGCGGCGGACGGGUGAGUAACACGUGGAUAACCUACCUAUAAGACUGGGAUAACUUCGGGAAACCGGAGCUAAUACCGGAUAAUAUAUUGAACCGCAUGGUUCAAUAGUGAAAGACGGUUUUGCUGUCACUUAUAGAUGGAUCCGCGCUGCAUUAGCUAGUUGGUAAGGUAACGGCUUACCAAGGCAACGAUGCGUAGCCGACCUGAGAGGGUGAUCGGCCACACUGGAACUGAGACACGGUCCAGACUCCUACGGGAGGCAGCAGUAGGGAAUCUUCCGCAAUGGGCGAAAGCCUGACGGAGCAACGCCGCGUGAGUGAUGAAGGUCUUCGGAUCGUAAAACUCUGUUAUUAGGGAAGAACAUAUGUGUAAGUAACUAUGCACGUCUUGACGGUACCUAAUCAGAAAGCCACGGCUAACUACGUG